rnacentral:rRNA from 2 species
CCUACGGGAGGCAGCAGUGGGGAAUAUUGGACAAUGGGCGAAAGCCUGAUCCAGCCAUGCCGCGUGUGUGAAGAAGGUCUUCGGAUUGUAAAGCACUUUAAGUUGGGAGGAAGGGCAGUUACCUAAUACGUAAUUGUUUUGACGUUACCGACAGAAUAAGCACCGGCUAACUCUGUGCCAGCAGCCGCGGUAAU